GGCUGCAGGGCUGGUAACCCUCCUCUGAUAGGCUGAUGGUGAGGUAACAGGGUGGCGCUCCAGGAAUUUCCGUGUCAGCGUUCUGGUUCCAACCAGUCUGAGGUCUGGGGUCUUGUGCUCAGCCUGAACUUAGCAACCUCCAUCCAGGUGGGGGGCCUUAGUUCCUGUGGAAGAACUCAGAGCCAUCCCAUAAUGAUGACGACUGAGUGCUUACUAUGGGUUAGACAUUGUGAACGAGGAUACAUUAUCUCCCUAAAUUCCAGAAGGGAUGCAGUCCUAAGGGUCAAGAUGUGAACCCCAUCUGACUGGUAAAUCUCAUGUUUCAAGUGCAUUUUGGACCCACAGUGUGGGCAUCACUUGGGAGCUUCUUAGAAAUGCAGAA